UUUCCUCUGCAGAAAAAAAAUUUUUUUUAACUGUUGAGGAGAAUUUUAUGAUGUCUCUUAGGUAUUGAAACAGCACCAAUGAGUGAGACAGAUGUGGUAGAAGCUCAUCAUAUUCUAACGUAAGACUGUUGGAAGGGUCCUUGUGCUUCCUGGAACCCUGUACUCUCUCUGGACAUUCUGGGGAGGCCAGACCUGGAGAGGAGCCCUUCGAAGCUGAGGCCAAUCCUGAUCCCGGCUUUUAUUCGUAAGAUCAUACCAAGGAAAUCCAUUGCCAACAGGACACCAACACCAACUCUUCUGGUUUCUCUGCUGUAAAAAAUACCUCUGCAAGUUGAAGUCCAUUUUCUGGCCAGUUUGCCUGUGAAGAGUAAUAGACACCAUUAAA